rnacentral:rRNA from 1 species
CACGUAGGGGGCGAGCGUUGUCCGGAUUUAUUGGGCGUAAAGAGCUCGUAGGCGGCUCAGUAAGUCAGGUGUGAAAACUCCAGGCUCAACCUGGAGACGCCACUUGAUACUGCUGUGGCUAGAGUCCGGGUAGGGGAGCAUGGAAUUCCUGGUGUAGCGGUGAAAUGCGCAGAUAUCAGGAGGAACACCAGUGGCGAAGGCGGUGCUCUGGGCCUUACCUGACGCUGAGGAGCGAAAGCGUGGGUAGCGAACAGG